rnacentral:misc_RNA from 1 species
GAUCACAGCCUGAGCGGUGACGUCCUCCCUUGCAUGCCUCCUCAAGUAUUGGCGCAAGAGCAGCAUYGUAAGCCUUGGCCGUCCGCGGGUUUCCUGUAUUGCAUACCUACACGAAGGAAUUCGGGUGUCCCAACAUUUAACGUUCUCCUAAUGCCGCCCCCCGACAAGGGCGCGGUGUGAGGUGAACCGCGAAGGCAAAUUUGUGUUCCAAGACAAUCGUAGCACACGUUGUUGUUUUGGCCCACGAAGUGCAGCCUGAGCUCUCGGAUGCGGAAUACCAUGAGGGCAGGAGGUCGUGGCCUCCGUGUGCCCACGCUCAGCGUUAAUCGCUCGCAUCGAACGACUACCGUCGUCGUCUUGAGAAGUCAUGUCCUUCGGGCGUGUCGUCGACAAGCGGCGCCGGUGUCUGUGAGGAAUGCUACCUGGUUGAUCCUGC